rnacentral:lncRNA from 1 species
ACGGCACCCAAUAGCUCUUAAAAUAAAAUCCAGGCUGUGCGUGGUCUGUCUCUCUCAAUCGCGGUUACAUACCCGUGUCUAGAACAAUGCUUGGCACAAAGUGGGCUCAGUGAAUAAAUAUUGGUGGUGGUUGUUGCCAAGGGGAUCGGGAAGGCUUUCCAGAGGAGAAUGGGGCCUUGACGGCUGCAUAGGAGUUUGCAGUGGAAGAAGAAGGGGUGAGAACGUGGCAGGUGGAGAAAACAGCGUAUGCAAAGGCAUAGCAGGGUUCGAGAAGGAGAGAUCUCAGCACAGUAGAUAGAGAAACACUUCAGACCCGAGCUGGUCUCUCAAGCUGGAAUCUUCACCAUCCGGGCUGAAAUGGGCCUCCCCUGCCCACAUCCAGCCAGAAGCCAGAGAAAAGAAGUCCCCUGCUGCGGCCCAUAGAUGUGAGGAGAGAAAAUGGUGGGGAGUGGAUCUGCAGAGGUGAACCUAAAGCAUUCAACCCAGAAAGCAUGCUUCUAGGGCCAGCCUGACUCGGCAGCUUCCUUCAGGAGCCAGCUCUGCAGUAUUCUUCCAAGAGUCCUUGCUGGAGGCGCUGCCUCCAGCCUUCCAACAGCUUGAGAAUCACACAGCUUCCUAUGUUAGAUUCCUUUCUCCUCCAAACAACUGAAGAGACUCUAAUCAUCGGCAACUGAAUCCCAAUUAACUUCGGAUUUGUUACCAGAAACAAUUGCAGGCAACACGACCUCCAGGAUGGGAACUGGGAUUGGUUACUUGUUCUGGUUGAUUUAAAGGCAGUGGGGACCUAGUAACUGUUAGAGAAUGGAGUUCUAAUAGAUCGUAGCCUGUGAUGGCAAAAUAAUUACCUGUCAUCACUCAGAACGAAGUACCUAUUAAAUUGUGGCUUUGGCAG